GACGAACGCUGGCGGCGUGCCUAAGACAUGCAAGUCGAACGCAGUGGGGACGGGUGAGUAACACGUGGGUAACCUCCCAUCAGAGGGGAUAACACUUGGAAACAGGUGCUAAACCGAUACUGAUGGAUGGACUCGCGGUGGAUUAGCUAGUUGGUGAGGUAACGGCUCACCAAGCCCACGAUGCAAAGCCAACCUGAUGGGGUGUUCGGCGACACUUGGACUCAGACCCGCCCCCGACUCCUACGAGAGGCAGCAGUAGGGAAUCUGCGGCAAUGGACGAAAGUCUGACCGAGCAACGCCGCGUGAGUGAAGAAGGUUUUCGGAUCGUAAAGCUCUUUUGUUAGUGACUCGGUAUCUAACCAGAAAGCCACGGCUAACUACGUGCCAGCAGCCGCGCUAAUAC
rnacentral:rRNA from 1 species